AACGCUAGCUACAGGCUUAACACAUGCAAGUCGAGGGGAAACGACAUCGAAAGCUUGCUUUUGAUGGGCGUCGACCGGCGCACGGGUGAGUAACGCGUAUCCAACCUGCCCAUCACUUGGGGAUAACCUUGCGAAAGUAAGACUAAUACCCAAUGACGUCUCUAGAAGACAUCUGAAGGAGAUUAAAGAUUUAUCGGUGAUGGAUGGGGAUGCGUCUGAUUAGCUUGUUGGCGGGGUAACGGCCCACCAAGGCGACGAUCAGUAGGGGUUCUGAGAGGAAGGUCCCCCACAUUGGAACUGAGCCACGGUCCAAACUCCUACGGGAGGCAGCAGUGAGGAAUAUUGGUCAAUGGACGAGAGUCUGAACCAGCCAAGUAGCGUGCAGGAUGACGGCCCUAUGGGUUGUAAACUGCUUUUAUAAGGGAAUAAAGUGGGUCUCGUGAGACUUUUUGCAUGUACCUUAUGAAUAAGGACCGGCUAAUUCCGUGCCAGCAGCCGCGGUAAUACGGAAGGUCCGGGCGUUAUCCGGAUUUAUUGGGUUUAAAGGGAGCGUAGGCCGGAGAUUAAGCGUGUUGUGAAAUGUAGACGCUCAACGUCUGCACUGCAGCGCGAACUGGUUUCCUUGAGUACGCACAAAGUGGGCGGAAUUCGUGGUGUAGCGGUGAAAUGCUUAGAUAUCACGAAGAACUCCGAUUG
rnacentral:rRNA from 1 species